UUUUGCGUUACGGAGACAAACUCGGGGGACAGCUUCAAUCAAUUUUCUCAAACGAGAGGAAGGUUGCGGCAAUAACAGGUCUGUGAUGCCCUCAGAUGUCCUGGGCCGCACACGUGCUACAUUGAUCAGCGCAGUGCGUCUUUUUUCCAAUGAAACAUCGGUCUGGCCGUUUUUAACAGUCCUGUACGGUUUUGCAAUGGCUACUGAUAGUGUCUGGUGUUCAACACACUGGGCAAUCUCUUGAAAAUACUGAUAGAAUACCCAACUCGAGCAAAUCUACUACACGCUGGAGGCACAACGGUCCAAGGGCUUAUCCCUUGCGACCGGUGCAGCCAAUGACGUAUGCAACUUGUCAACUCUACGUGGGGAUAGUCGCCUGAAAUUCUUCGACUCGUUCUAACUAGGAAUGCCUUGUACGGGCCUUGGUUCAUUAUGCCGCCCGG
rnacentral:rRNA from 1 species